rnacentral:tRNA from 1 species
GAGGGUAGAACUCAGUGGUAGAGUGUGUGCUUAGCAUGCAAGAGGUCCUGGGUUCAAGCCCCAGUACCUCCA